UUAUUGUGUGUCAUGUAAUGUGGGGAACUGGUCUUGGUCUUGACUUGGUCACAGUCCCUGAAAGUCUUGGUCUUGUCUCGGUCUAGAUAAACUCUGGUCUUGGUUUUGACUUUGUCUCGGUUUGGGCGCUCUUGACUACAACACUACUUGAAGACGUUUCGCCUCUCAUCCAGAAACUUCCUCAAUUCUGACUAACUGACAUCGAGUCCCAGUUAUUUAACCUCCGUGGGGUCGUUAUCAGUGUGAUGGAUACCGCUUGGUUCGUUAGUGUUUCCGGCUGUUGUAACUAUAGUCGGUACGGUCGUUGGCACUGUCACGUCGGCCAAAUGUAAGUGUUUGUUCACUCUUCCUGGGACAGCACUAUAGGUGGAGGGUAAGUGGUGCAAGGGGUGCUCACAUUACCAACGUGCGCCAGCUUGCAGUGGAAGCCUGCAAAACAAGCCUAGCAACGUUUGAGUAUCAAGUUGAGGUUGCGUUAGCUCAUUAGCUCAGUCUGUGGACUUGGAACUGGAGGUUCGCCGGUUUGAGUCCAGCACAGAUCACUGUCGAAGGUGCCCCUGAGCAAGUCCCUGAACCCCUAACUGUUCCCCGUGCGCUGCACAAUGGCAAGACACUGCUCCAAAUUAGGAUGGGAACAAAUUCUGCAUGCAUAGUACUGUGUCAAAAUUGCAUGCGGCCAAUAAAGUUGAUUAGACUGAGAACAAACUGAGAAACUCUGGAUGCUGCCGAUCACACGUCGACGGAGAAAACAGCCGGAUGGGCCGUGAGUAAAACCAGUUGACCGACAUUAGUUAACUAUUAUUUCCAAAGUUUCUUAAAUCAAAAUCCAUAAUCUAAAUUUCUCGAUCUCAAAAUUUUAACAGAAAGAAUAAUAUAAAUUCAAACCAUCUUGUUAAAGUUAUUAUGGCUCCAACACCAUUAUUUCCGCAGUUAUCCCUCUUCAGAAAAGAAGACACGCGUGAACUCAAGAAUCAAGAAGGAUUAGAUGGCAGGAAACUUUCACAGGUUGCUUUCAGAUCACACACAGUUGUCAUGUAAUUGGUUGCACAUUGAAAAGCGACCAGGUAAACGCAACGCUCAAGGUCAGCACAAAGUGGUUCUGCUGCUCACUGAAGGAACUUUAGAUGCAGCCAUGUUUGUUGCAGAUCAAACAUCAUCGCAGUUACCACUUGGCUUCGUAGAUAUGGCUUUCAGCUUUAAUGUUAUUUUUGUGACUUUGUGAGAAGUUGCUGGUUUAAUAAACUUGGCCUUUUCGUGGCCUUCAAAUCCAGAAGAAUCCCGGGACACGCAGGAGAGCUGGCAGGUGUGUGAGAUGUCUCAGCGCGAGAGACGUGGGCUCGGACUCGUGUUUGGACUCCUGCCCCAUUAUACAGAAUCGGGUUUCAAAUCUUCUCCAGCUGCUUCUCUAAACUCAGCAGCUGGAAGCUUUUUUUAAACGUGCUGCGAGUGACUGAGUUGAACUAAACACAUCAUUGAUGUAAGUUUCAUCAGUCUGAACAUCAGGACACCGGUGUAAGGAAGGAAGGUCUGAGGUUUUCCUCCAACAGCAGCGAUAUGCAUCUAUACGUCCUCCUCCUCCUCCUCCUCCUCUCCUCCUCCAGACGCCGGCCUCUGAGCUGAUCAAGUUUCAGUGUUUCUGCAGAACUCAAAAUGAAACCCGAGCUGAGGAAGCAGCAGGAGACUGAAGGUAGACACAACAUGUCGGACACAACCUCCGUCCAUCUGGAUUGAGAGCUCAAAAUAUAAACUAAAGCUUCUAUUUAUAACAUAGUGGAUAUAAAAAGGUAUUUAAAUGUGAGUCUGAACAAUGCCCUCAGUUUGACACGAGACCGACCCUCUGUGGGCCUCAGGACUGAUACGACGGUGGUGAAAGGAUAUACAACCCGGGGCCUCAUCUGAAGGCUUUCAAAUGCAGAAUUCCUAAUAAAAAGACUGUGAACUUGGAAGAAAUAAACUUUAUUUGUGUAACUCUGCUGAGGCCUCAUUUUACUGGUGCAGAAAUGUGAGGUCCUGAUGUGUCCCCGAGGUGAAUUAACUCCACUCAGACUGUUUGAAGAAAGAGACAGAGCAACAGACAAACUGGUGUCACCACAUCAGUUUUAUGGUAAUGACUUACCUGGAAAUCUUCCACAGAACCCGGCCUGGCAUCUUUCCACUGUUUUCUUUUCCUUAACAACGCACACUGCAAAAAAAAAAAAAAAAGAAAGCUCUCACAUUCAGAUGAGUGACUCUCCUGUGAAACAGAAACUCUGUGUCUCUUAUAAAAACUAUACGAUCUGUUUCUGUUGAUAUGAAACACCACAGAGAGCUGACAGCACAGUUAUCAUGAGCACUGUGCACUGUGCACACUGUAGUCUGAAAGUCCUCCAACAUUUACCUCAUGCUGUGUUUCUGCUGCCAACACGCAGAGUUGCUUCACCGACGAGUUUCAUGGCUUAUCAGACACCAAAAACACUCCACAGCUGUUCACACUUAGAGAAAGUUAUCACAGCGACUAUCAUUUAAUCCUCCGUCUCCACGACGGUGAAGCUCAUUCGUCUAUUUCCUGAUGCUUAUCCACAACCUGCAUAGUUGUGCAGACGCUGGACAGCUGUGCUUAUAACCUCGGUUGAGACUAAAUUACAAGCUAAUCUAUUAGGACUGAGCGCUCGCACGAAUUUGAUUGGUGAAUGCAGAGCGCUGCUGGAUCACGUUGCCACUCAUUCACCAGGUCACCCUGUGUUCUGACGCGACCACCUGCUGGUCUUAAUGCAGGUCUCUCUCAAAACCCUUUCUAUCAGAACCAGCAUCAACUUUUUCAGCGGUUGGACCUACAGUAGCUCGUUGGAUCGGACCACACGGGCCCACCUUCGCUCCCCACGGGCAUCAAUGAUCCUCGGCCGUCCACGACCCUGUCGGCGGUUCACCGCUUCUCCUUCCUUGGACCACUUGCAGAAGACGAGAGUUCAUCUGCAUUUAAUGUUUGUUUUUUUUUACAGGCAUUUUCCGGAGUGUAACCAUGAGCAUAUGUUCCCCGUGCAGACACUUCACGAAGAAAGAAUUUCUAAAGAGUUGGAAAUCUGUGGGUUUCAAGCUUCUUGCGUGGAGAUAGGUUUGACCAUUGAGCAACAUUCAACUAAUUUGCAGUGCGAUCCUGUGUUUUUCCAACACGUUCUCACUCGUCACACAUGGGCGCUUGGUCGAAACCGCUUGGCGUCAGUUUUUAACACCCUGGGUAUACAGCUCUGCGAUCAAGUUAGCAACAAUAAAAAUGCAACAUCCGGUUAGAUUUUCAAAAUAAAACUAGUGGUUGAUGUUGUGAAAUGUUGCAAUUUGGUUAGAUUUAAGCACCCAAACUAUUUGGUUAGUUUGAGGAAACCAUCAUGGUUUGGGUUAACGUUACUUGUGUUAACUUGUGUAACUUGUGCCACAAAUUAAAACAGUCAGUGUUGACUUUUUAUUUCACACGGGAAACAAACACCGGCCUCCUGGGUUAAAGUCCCGCUUCUGGCCCACCGUCCAUCCCAGCCAUCUCCUUACAUGGACUUUUCUGUUAAACACCUACCUUUACAUUUAUUCUUUUAGCUGACGCUUUUAUCUAAAGCGACUUACAGCAACUAAGGGUUAAGUGUCUUGCUCAGGGACACAAUGGCGGUGUCGCAGUGGGAAUUGAACCGUCCAAAGGUGACGUUACUGGGCUUCCCUACUAUGACGCUAAGGGGCUGUCCAGAAAACUGCCUGCAUCGGCUCUUGACCAUGCUGGGAGUGAGAACAGGUUGGCUUUCAACACAGUGGUCAGUACAUCAGGAGUAAAGUGUUAACGUCGGCCUGAACACAACCUCAGUGAGACGCUGAGCAGAAGUUUAAAAGGAUGACUUGGACAUUUCUUACAGUGCAGAGACGCACAGACAGCCCGGAGCACUUUUACAGUGCUGUUAAAGUGGCGUCACAGAUCAUCAGCUGAUCUCCGAGUACAAACACAGAGGUGGUUAAAGUGUCCCUCACCGUGGCGGCAGAGUGAGCUCCGGCUGAUAACCAUCUAAUCCACACUGAAUCACCAAACCGAGCGUUUAACGUCAGCUGUCAAACACCUGCUGUCGCGUCGCCGAUCGAGGCCUUUUCUGCUUUUUGUACAUUUUUAGUGCCGACGCAGUGCAGAUUUAGUCACAUUAUAUGAGGCCCAAAUGGAGCAGGAGUGAAUAUCUGAACACUUAACAGAAUACUCUUUCCAGUCCGAACUCGCGCCCCGUCAUGCAGGAGGAGACACGUUCAGCCGCCGCCGCAGGAAUUCUUCCCGUGUGCCAAAAGAAGCUCAUUAGCUUCCAGGUCAAUAAUUCUUCUUUAGCAUGAGAUCGUGUUUCUUUGAUGUGUGUUAAUUAAUGUCUUCUUUCAGCCAGUAAGUCGGAUUAAUCAAAGCCGUGCCGCCUCUGCUCUGUUCUGUAAGUGGAGAUAAAUAUCUGGUCGUGUUGGUAAGUGUGGGUUUGUUCAUCCUGUCACGGGUGUUGCUGUGAUGAGACGAGGUAACCAGGCGGUUUAAUCUCAGCCCUCGGGGUUUAUUCACAGUGUCAGAGUGUACGAGCUGUCAAUCGCUGCAUGUUUGCCUUUCAUUCCCCCUGGAGAUUUUACAGCUUUAUUAUCUAUUUAUAUCUUCUGUAACUGUUGACUGUGUCGCUGUGUUGAUUCUGUUUGUUGCUGUUGUUCAUGUGAAUGUUUCUGGUUUUAAAUGAGACCAGAACAAAGAAAACACCAAACCCCGAAUGUGCUUUCGGUAAAUAAAGCUAGACCCAGUUCGGCCCAAAACAAA